GAAUGAAUUGAGUUGCUAGGCAGCUAAACCUGCAACUUAACCAAAUGAGAGACAAAUGUAACAUGAAAUUUCCAUCAGAAGUCUCAAGUAAAAUCUUUUUGUUCAGAGACUGGAGAUUACAUGAGACCUAUGAAUGUAACUAGAAAGAUCAUUGGAACCAUCAAUUCAUCCGCUGAGAAAUUUUAGUAAAAUUACAUAGGACAACAAAGCUCUCCGUAAAGGAUAGAAAAGUUCAGAAGACUCUUCAAGGAACAGCAAAGCAAUUUUGGAGAUACAAGAUCAACUUAAUAUCAAAGUACAAGAAAAAUCAAAGAGAAAUCAGUUCGGCUUUGCUUUUCUGAUGGAUUGGCUACACAAGACGACACACUGUUAAAGGUCAAAGUCAAAGGGAGGAGACAGACUUGUAUGUCUUCCUGCCUAUUCCACAUUCAUCUCAUACAAAACUCCAAAUGGCUGUAAGUGAAGCCCCGGUUCAUGUGAGGAACACUCUUCUGAUGUUUUGGCUGGGAUUAUUACUCCUCCUUUCUGGAUGGCCUCAGAUCGGACACUCUCAACAUCACAGUCACGUAGAAGUAGUAAUACCCAUGAGGGUGACUGGCACUAGGAAAGGUGUGAAGACUCUAGGCUGGCUCUCCUAUAGCCUGCACUUUGGGGGACAGAGGCACAUAAUCCACAUGAAGGCCAAAAAGCUGUUAGUAUCCAGACAUUUCCCAGUGUUCAGUUACACAGACAAGGAUGUUCUCCGUGAGGAUCUGCCAUUUAUCAAGGAUGACUGCCACUACCAGGGUUACAUAGAAGGAGAGCCAGAAUCCUUCAUUGCUCUUAGCCUCUGUUUUGGGGGCUUUCAUGGAAUACUACAGAUAAAUGACACUGUGUAUGAAAUCAAGCCCAAAAGGUUUUCUAAAACACAUGAACAUCUGAUUCAUAGACAAUUCUACAGUGAGACAGAAUUCCAAUCCACAAAAUGGCAAUCAGCAGAAAAAGAGAUAGCAGGGAAACUGGGAUUUCAAGAGCGUAACAAACUCCAUCUCAUGCAAGAGAAGUAUGAGGGCUGGUGGCCGCACAGAUGGUUUGUGGAGCUUGCGGUGAUUAUAGACCAUCAACGAUUCAUUUUCCGGAAUGGUAAUAUCACAAUGGUGAUGCAAGAUGUAUUAAUCACAAUGAAUGAAGUAAAUUCCA